UACGUAGGGUGCGAGCGUUGUCCGGAAUUACUGGGCGUAAAGAGCUCGUAGGCGGUUUGUCGCGUCGUCCGUGAAAACUUGGGGCUCAACCCCAAGCUUGCGGGCGAUACGGGCAGACGUUGAGUACUGCAGGGGAGGACUGGAAUUCCUGGUGUAGCGGUGAAAUGCGCAGAUAUCAGGAGGAACACCGGUGGCGAAGGCGGGUCUCUGGGCAGUAACUGACGCUGAGGAGCGAAAGCAUGGGGAGCGAACAGG
rnacentral:rRNA from 1 species